rnacentral:rRNA from 1 species
UACGUAGGGGGCUAGCGUUGUCCGGAAUCAUUGGGCGUAAAGCGCGUGUAGGCGGUCCGGUAAGUCCGCUGUGAAAGUCGAGGGCUCAACCCUCGAAUGCCGGUGGAUACUGUCGGGCUUGAGUACGGGAGAGGCGAGUGGAAUUCCUGGUGUAGCGGUGAAAUGCGCAGAUAUCUGGAGGAACACCGGUGGCGAAGGCGGCAUCCUGGACCGACACUGACGCUGAGGAGCGAAAGCCAGGGGAGCAAACGGG